UACGUAGGGGGCAAGCGUUGUCCGGAAUCAUUGGGCGUAAAGCGCGUGUAGGCGGCUCGAUAAGUCUGCUGUGAAAGUCCAGGCUCAACCCUGGGAUGCCGGUGGAUACUGUCGAGCUCGAGUCCGGAAGAGGCGAGUGGAAUUCCUGGUGUAGCGGUGAAAUGCGCAGAUAUCAGGAGGAACACCGGUGGCGAAGGCGGGGUCUCUGGGCCGAUACUGACGCUGAGGAGCGAAAGCGUGGGGAGCAAACAGG
rnacentral:rRNA from 1 species